rnacentral:lncRNA from 1 species
UUGUUGGGGGCUGUUAAGUUGGGUUUUAUGGCUGAUGUGUGAGUUCGAAUUGCUCCAGUGCGCACCCAUCUGCCCACUGUACUCUUGCUUUGUCCUAAACCCUUUGCUAAAGUUCGUAUACUGCCUCUCUUUGAUAAUUGUAUACUGGUAAGUAGAUUAGUGUUAAGAAUCAACACCUUUUUCUUUUUAAAACUUAGCUUUCCACUUUGAAGAUGAAUCACUCCACCAUUUUGUCUUUGUUUUUUUGCAGCUUCCCAUAGUCGGUGAACAGUUGAACGGG